UACGGGGGGGGCAAGCGUUGUUCGGAAUUACUGGGCGUAAAGGGCGCGCAGGCGGCCGCUCAAGUCCGAUGUGAAAGCCCCGGGCUCAACCUGGGAACUGCAUUUGAUACUGAGUGGCUAGAGUUCGGGAGAGGAGAGUGGAAUUCCCAGUGUAGAGGUGAAAUUCGUAGAUAUUGGGAAGAACACCGGUGGCGAAGGCGGCUCUCUGGACCGAUACUGACGCUGAGGCGCGAAAGCGUGGGGAGCAAACAGG
rnacentral:rRNA from 1 species